AUAGCAAGUGACGGGCAAUUUGUGCAUAUAUAAAAAUUAAAUUCAAAUUAAUUAAUUUAUUAAUUUUACUUUUAAAUCCUAAAAAUUUAAUUUUUUUUUAAAAAAAAAUUUUUAAAUGCAACUCAUUUUAAUCUUUAAAAUACUACAUAUUGAUCUGAAAUAAUUUUUAAUAAAAUAUUUUAAAUAAAAUAAUUUUAUUUAUUUUUUUAACGAACAUACAUAAAUUAAUAUUUAAAGUUUAAUUUAACGUGGAUUAUCAAUUAUUAAACAAGUUUCCCUAAAUAAAUUUAUAUACUGCCAUAUUUAAAUAUUUCAUUAAUUUAAUAAAAUAUUAAUAAAUUUAAUUUUAAUACUAGGGUAUCUAAUCCCUAGUUUA
rnacentral:rRNA from 1 species